rnacentral:rRNA from 1 species
UACGUAAGGUGCAAGCGUUGUCCGGAAUUAUUGGGCGUAAAGAGCUCGUAGGCGGUUUGUUGCGUCGGCUGUGAAAUCCCGAGGCUCAACCUCGGGUCUGCAGUCGAUACGAGCAAACUAGAGUGUUGCAGGGGAGACUGGAAUUCCUGGUGUAGCGGUGAAAUGCGCAGAUAUCAGGAGGAACACCGGUGGCGAAGGCGGAUCUCUGGGCCGUAACUGACGCUGAGGAGCGAAAGCAUGGGGAGCGAACAGG